CCUACAGGUGGCUGCAGUGAGGAAUAUUGGUCAAUGGACGAGAGUCUGAACCAGCCACGUAGCGUGAAGGAUGACUGCCCUCUGGGUUGUAAACUUCUUUUAUAAAGGAAUAAAACGAGGCACGUGUGCCUUUUUGCAUGUACUUUAUGAAUAAGGAUCGGCUAACUCCGUGCCAGCAGCCGCGGUAAUACGGAGGAUCCGAGCGUUAUCCGGAUUUAUUGGGUUUAAAGUGAGCGUAGAUGGGUUGUUAAGUCAGUUGUGAAAGUUUGCGGCUCAACCGUAAAAUUGCAAUUGUUACUGGCAGUCUUGAGUACAGUUGAGGUAGGCGGAAUUCGUGGGGUAGCGGGGAAAUGCGUAGAUAUCACGAAGAACCCCGAUUGCGAAGGCAGCUUACUAAACUGUGACUGACAUUGAUGCUCGAAAGUGUGGGUAUCAAACAGGAUUAGAUACCCGAGUAGUC
rnacentral:rRNA from 1 species